rnacentral:rRNA from 9 species
AGUGGCGCACGGGUGCGUAACGCGUAUGCAACCUACCUUCCACUGGGGGAUAGCCCGUCGAAAGACGGAUUAAUACCGCAUAUGACCACAGGAGGGCAUCCGAUUGUGGUAAAAGCUGAGGCGGUGGAAGAUGGGCAUGCGUGCCAUUAGCUAGUUGGCGGGGUAAAGGCCCACCAAGGCGACGAUGGCUAGGGGUUCUGAGAGGAUGGUCCCCCACACUGGUACUGAGACACGGACCAGACUCCUACGGGAGGCAGCAGUAGGGAAUAUUGGGCAAUGGCCGAGAGGCUGACCCAGCCAUGCCGCGUGCAGGAAGAAGGCCUUCUGGGUUGUAAACUGCUUUUAUCGGGGAAGAAAACGCUCUUGCGAGAGUAACUGACGGUACCCGAUGAAUAAGCACCGGCUAACUCCGUGCCAGCAGCCGCGGUAAUACGGAGGGUGCAAGCGUUGUCCGGAUUUAUUGGGUUUAAAGGGUGCGUAGGCGGCCCGUUAAGUCAGCGGUGAAAUCCCAGGGCUCAACCCUGGAACUGCCGUUGAUACUG